AUCAAUCAAAUGCAUCUUUGCUCUCCAAUUUAGAGAGAAGGAUGUUGUGGGGGACCGUCUCAAAGGCCUUACAGAUGUCCAGAUAGAUCACAUCUGUAGCCCUUCCCGUGUCCACUGAUGUAGUCCCUCCAUCAUAGAAGGCCACUAGGUUGGU